GAUGAGAACGUAGCGAAAUGCGAUAAGUAAUGUGAAUUGCAGAAUUCAGUGAAUCAUCGAAUCUUUGAACGCACAUUGCGCCCGCUAGUAUUCUGGCGGGCAUGCCUGUCCGAGCGUCAUUUCAACCCUCAAGCCCCCGGGCUUGGUGUUGGGGAUCGGCGAGCCUCCGCGCCCGCCGUCCCCUAAAUCUAGUGGCGGUCUCGCUGUAGCUUCCUCUGCGUAGUAGCACACCUCGCACUGGGAAACAGCGCGGCCACGCCGUUAAACCCCCAACUUCUGAACGUUUGACCUCGGAUCAGGUAGGAAUACCCGCUGAACUUAAGCAUAUCAAUAAGCGGAGGA
rnacentral:misc_RNA from 1 species